AAAACCAUACAAGUGUGACCAGUGUGGGGCAGCUUUCAGUCAAUCAAGUCAUUUACAAAGUCACAAUCGUAUUCACACUGGAGAGAAACCUUACAGGUGUGACCAGUGUGGUGCAGCUUUUACUGAAUCUGGUGCUUUAAAAAAGCACCAACGCAUUCACACUGGAGAAAAACCUUACCGGUGUAAUCA